rnacentral:rRNA from 1 species
AGGACGAACGCUGGCGGCGUGCUUAACACAUGCAAGUCACGGGGGCCCGCAAGGGCAACCGGCGAACGGGUGCGUAACACGUGAGCAAUCUGCCGAUAUCUGGGGGAUAGCCGGCCCAACGGCCGGGUAAUACCGCAUACACUCACUGGUCGGCAUCGACUGGUGAGGAAACCUCCGGGGGAUAUCGAGGAGCUCGCGGCUUAUCAGCUAGUUGGUGAGGUAAUGGCUCACCAAGGCGACGACGAGUAGC